CAUUUAAAACAUUUAUGAAAAUAUAAUCUUGCAAUUUAUCCUGCAAGGAUGUGCUGAUUUUGUUAUUAAUCUUUCUUUUAAUGUAUAAUUAGCAUUAUUGCUUACAACAAUAGUAACAAUAAUAUAUAAUCAAGUCGAUAUAAAUAUAGAAAAUAAAACUAAAAUAUUAAUCGAUGCUACUUUUGGGCGUCUGUCUCCAUGGAGACGAAGCGUAGUUUCGCUUUUCUCUGGAGAAACUAUUGCCUCCACUGUUAAAUAUUCUGAUUAUAAAUAUAAUCAAAGACUGAGUAAUACAAAAGGGGACUUUAAUAUGAUGAAUAUGAGCUGUUUUAAAGGCGAUAUAUCAGGUUUACAGUUUAACGGCCGAGAAUCGAAGGUUAAUCGCUGUCUGGAAAACACCUCAGGGCUUCCGUAGUUCAAGGUAUUCUAUGUAAACAUGAGCCACGCUCUCUGCAAAGCCUCUAAUCAUGCUGUCAGUCACCUAAAGGCCUCAGAAAUCAUGCAAGUCAGGUAACAGUAGCUAAUAAGGGCUAAUAGAUGUAUAUGAUGAUAAUGAUAACGCAUGAUGAUGAUUAAAAUAAGAUUAUUUUGCUUGUUUAACGUGCUAACGGGAUUGUUAAGUGCUUUUGGUCUUGUAUUGUAAGCGGUUUAACAUUUUUAUCUUCACAGCAGUUCAUAUGUGUAUGAACAAUCAUUUAAUGCAUACUUUAGAUUUAAUAAACAGUGAAAUCAGCAUUUAUUUGACCGAAAUAAUCAGCAAGCCGGCUGUCAAGCGUAGUAAAUGAUCAUAUGAAGAUUUCAGAUGCAAAAACUCUGAAAUUUGUAGCAAAAUUAACAUUUUUCUCAACUUCCUUUGUUUAAGUUAAGUUAUUUUACUUUAAAGACCAGUAAAAGAACGUAUGCUUUGCCAUGAAGGUUAUUACUGGACAUGUAUACAGGAGUUUCAGAAAAAUACAAAUUUUAUUGGAAGAUUUCGGACAUCAUUUAGAGAUUUUUGCAUCUAAACUCUUCAUAGUAAUGUCUGUAAACCAAAAUAUGAUAUAUUUGGUCUGACCAACAAUAAAACUUUUACAUGUGACCUUAAUAACAUGUGACUUCAUGAGCAGUAAAAACUUCCAGAAGCUCAAUUAAUAAGCAUAUAUAUUCAAUUUGUCUUCUUUCAAUUCAUUCAAUUUGUCUCUGUUUAUUUAUUUAUUUAUUUUUUGAAAUAAACAAGCUCUGGUUCCUAUUCUUACAUAUACAUACACACGUGGUGGCGAUAAUGCACCUUUAAUGCUGUUAUGCAGUAUAACCGAAGAAGAAUAACUUCCGAAGCAUUUCUUGAGUAGGCGGGACUAAUUAAGAUGCAGCAAUGCCAUUGGCUGUCAAUGUGAUUAAUAUCCGACACCUGCACGGAGCAAACGCUGGAAGAUUGUCUGUUUGAAGACGCGAGCACGAGUGGAUGUCUGGAUCAUUGAGCUCCAGGGAUGCAGGACAACCAGGAUACUUUCCCAAUUGUUUAUUUCUCCAUGAUUGUUUCUCCAUGUUGGCUGCUCCACAAACUCUUGUAUCUGACGGUACAACGGUAUCAGCUUGGACCCGUUCUUUGGUUUAAAGUGUUACUGAACUACGUUCAUGGUGUCCUCCACUAGCACUGCACAUUUUGCAUGUCUCAUUUCGAAGUCUUUGUAUUUAUGAGACGUGCAAAUUGUGUUGUGUUGGAGGGAUCCUGGAGUGUGGUUGAGCUGCACUGGCCCAAAGCUUUAAGCAAUCUGUGUUGAAUGCAUUGUCUGUAAUUUAUGAUGUUUGUGCAAAAUAAAAGUUUAAAUGUUA